AUUGAACGCUGGCGGCAGGCCUAACACAUGCAAGUCGGACGGUAGCACAGAGGAGCUUGCUCCUCGGGUGACGAGUGGCGGACGGGUGAGUAAUGUCUGGGGAUCUGCCCGAUAGAGGGGGAUAACCACUGGAAACGGUGGCUAAUACCGCAUAACGUCGCAAGACCAAAGAGGGGGACCUUCGGGCCUCGCACGAUCGGAUGAACCCAGAUGGGAUUAGCUAGUAGGCGGGGUAACGGCCCACCUAGGCGACGAUCCCUAGCUGGUCUGAGAGGAUGACCAGCCACACUGGAACUGAGACACGGUCCAGACUCCUACGGGAGGCAGCAGUGGGGAAUAUUGCACAAUGGGCGCAAGCCUGAUGCAGCCAUGCCGCGUGUAUGAAGAAGGCCUUCGGGUUGUAAAGUACUUUCAGCGGGGAGGAAGGCUAUGUGGUUAAUAACCGCAUUGAUUGACGUUACCCGCAGAAGAAGCACCGGCUAACUCCGUGCCAGCCGCCGCCGUAA
rnacentral:rRNA from 1 species